UAGAGGAAGUAAAAGUCGUAACAAGGUUUCCGUAGGUGAACCUGCGGAAGGAUCAUUAACAAAUGUGAAACGGAGGAGCUGUCGCUGGCCCCUUGGGGCAUGUGCACGCUCUUUCGAAUCCAAUCUUAAACCUGUGAACCCACGGCGGAGGGGGGCUCCUUCGGGGGCCUUUUUCCUGCUCAUUACACACCCUUUGUAUGUUCAGAAUGUCUCUUUGCGCAUCGUACGCAAUAAAUACAACUUUCAGCAACGGAUCUCUUGGCUCUCGCAUCGAUGAAGAACGCAGCGAAAUGCGAUAAGUAAUGUGAAUUGCAGAAUUCAGUGAAUCAUCGAAUCUUUGAACGCACCUUGCACGCUCCGGUAUUCUGAAGCGUAUGCCUGUUUGAGUGUCGUGGCAUCAUCAAACCUCACUGUUUCUGACGGUGACGGUUUGGAAUUGGAGGUGUUGCUGUGGCCCUUCUUGGGCUUUCGGCUCCUCUCAAAUGCAUUAGCUGGGACGUUUGGUCCGUAGGCUCUGACGUGAUAGUGAUGUUGCGUCGUGGUCCACCCCUCCUGUCGCCGCUUCUAAUCGUCCGAAAGGACAGCUUACCCAUUGACCUUUGACCUCAAAUCAGGUAGGACUACCCGCUGAACUUAAGCAUAUCA
rnacentral:rRNA from 1 species